rnacentral:misc_RNA from 1 species
CCGAGUGUCGGGCCCUCCGGGUCCACCCUCCCCACCCGUGUCUACCGUCCCUUGUUGCUUCGGCGGGCCCGCCCUUUGGGGCUGCCGGGGGGCCUCGCGCCCCCGGGCUCCGCGCCCGCCGGAGACGUCCACGCGAACCCUGUGUGAAGGUUGCCGUCUGAGAGUGGAUUCGUCCAAUCGUUUA